AGAGUUUGAUCCUGGCUCAGGACGAACGCUGGCGGCGUGCUUAACACAUGCAAGUCGAGCGGUAAGGCCCUUCGGGGUACACGAGCGGCGAACGGGUGAGUAACACGUGGGUAACCUGCCCCGUACUUUGGGAUAAGCCCGGGAAACUGGGUCUAAUACCGGAUAUGACUCCAUGCCGCAUGGUGUGGGGUGGAAAGUUCUGGCGGUACGGGAUGGGCCCGCGGCCUAUCAGCUUGUUGGCAGGGUAAUGGCCUACCAAGGCGACGACGGGUAGCCGGCCUGAGAGGGCGACCGGCCACACUGGGACUGAGACACGGCCCAGACUCCUACGGGAGGCAGCAGUGGGGAAUAUUGCGCAAUGGGCGGAAGCCUGACGCAGCGACGCCGCGUGCGGGAUGAAGGCCUUCGGGUUGUAAACCGCUUUCAGCAGGGACGAAUCUGACGGUACCUGCAGAAGAAGCGCCGGCUAACUACGUGCCAGCAGCCGCGGUAAUACGUAGGGCGCAAGCGUUGUCCGGAAUUAUUGGGCGUAAAGAGCUCGUAGGCGGCCAGUCGCGUCUGCUGUGAAAUCCCGGGGCUCAACCCCGGGCGUGCAGUGGAUACGGGCUGGCUAGAGGCAGGCAGGGGAGAACGGAAUUCCUGGUGUAGCGGUGAAAUGCGCAGAUAUCAGGAGGAACACCGGUGGCGAAGGCGGUUCUCUGGGCCUGUUCUGACGCUGAGGAGCGAAAGCGUGGGGAGCGAACAGGAUUAGAUACCCUGGUAGUCCACGCCGUAAACGAUGUCCACCAGGUGUUAGGGGUAUCGACCCCUCCAGCGCCGCAGCCAACGUGAUGAGUGGACCGCCUGGGGAGUACGGCCGCAAGGUUAAAACUCAAAGGAAUUGACGG
rnacentral:rRNA from 1 species